UGUUUCUUCCUCGGGUACUUUUUCUUUCUGAACAUUGGAAUUAUCCACUCCAAGUCGCUCAUUGCUACAGGGACAAGAAGCUUUAUUUCUUGGAUUUUUGCCAUGGCACCCGUUCAAGAGUCUAUCGAUACAUGGACCAAGUUUUUCUCAGGGUUUUCCAAAACUCGAUUCGUACUUGUAUAUCGACACAUGCUACACAAGAUUGUGAACCUUGGAUAUGAAUGCAAUCAGAAAGUGUACUGAUGCGUGGAUGUAAGAAUUGA